UGACAAACGCUGCAUAUAUUAUGUAGAGGAAAGUCCAUGCUCACAAAAGCUGCGAUGCUUUUAGUGUUUGUGCUAGGGGAAAAAAUAACCCUAGGUAGCUUUAUGCUAACGGCUAUGAAAUAACCUAAGUCUUUGGAUAUGGUUAAAGUAAUUGUAAAAGUGCUAUAGUGAUGAAGAAUCUGGAAACGGAGGAAGUGGAACAUAGUAAACCCCACAAGUGAGAAACCCAAAUAAUGGUAGGGGAGUCUGGGAAGUGGAAAUGAACACAACCUAGGAUUAUAGAAAUAUAAUAGAUAAAUGUUUGCCACCCAAGUGGUACAGAACAUGGCUUAUAA
rnacentral:RNase_P_RNA from 1 species